rnacentral:rRNA from 1 species
UCAAGCUAAAAAGGGCGCAAGGUGAAUGCCUUGGCACUGGGAGCCGAUGAAAGACGUGGUAAGCUGCGAAAAGCUUCGGGGAGGAGCAAACAUCCAUUGAUCCGGAGAUAUCUGAAUGGGGCAACCCAAUGGAGUUCAUACUCCAUUAUCCAAUACUGAAUCCAUAGGUAUUGGAAGGGAACCGCCUGAACUGAAACAUCUAAGUAGGGCGAGGAAGAGACAUCAAACGAGAUUCCGUAAGUAGUGGCGAGCGAACGCGGAAGAGGGCAAACCGAGAGGAGAAAUCCUUUCGGGGUACGGACUGCUUUUAAGACUGGAAGAGUUAACAGAAUGGCAUGGGAAGGCCAACCGAAGAGUGUGAGAGUCACGUAAGUAAAAAUUCUGACAGCUGCGCAGGAUCCAGAGUACGGCCAGACACGUGAAACCUGGUCGGAACAUGGGGGGACCACCCUCCAACCCUAAAUACUACCCAGUGACCGAUAGCGUAUAGUACUGUGAAGGAAAGGUGAAAAGGACCCCGGGAGGGGAGUGAAAGAGAACCUGAAACCUUGUGCCUACAAGCACAUAGAGCCCGUCAAAGGGUGAUAUGGUACUUUUUGUAGAACGGUCCGGCGAGCGAUUGUACGUUGCGAGCUUAAGGUCUUAAGGACUGGAGGCGUAGCGAGAGCGAGUCUAAACAGGGCGUUUAGUAGCGUGCAAUGGGCCCGAAACCGGGUGACCUACCCAUGAUCAGGCUGAAGUGAAAGUAAAAUUUCAUGGAGGGCCGAACCGACCUCCGUUGAAAAGGCGGCGGAUGAAUUGUGGGUAGCGGAGAAAUUCCAAUCGAACUCGGAGAUAGCUGGUUCUCCCCGAAAUAGCUUUAGGGCUAGCCUCAUGUUAGAUAUCCGGAGGUAAAGCACUGAAUGGCCUAGCGUCCGAGAGGAUAGCGAAGCCUAUCAAACUAAGAAUGCCGGAAUAUUGAUGCAUGGGAGUCAGACAGUGUGAGAUAAAUCUCAUUGUCAAAAGGGAAACAGCCCAGAUCUACAGCUAAGGUCCCAAAUUGUAUCUAAGUGGAAAACGAUGUGGAAAUACGCAGACAACCAGGAUGUUGGCUCAGAAGCAGCCACUCAUUUAAAGAGUGCGUAAUAGCUCACUGGUCGAGCGUCUCUGCGCGGAAAAUUUAACGGGGCUAAGAUACAAACCGAAGCUUAGGCUGCAUACGUAAGUAUGCGGGGUAGGGGAGCGUUGUGUAAGCGGAGAAACAGUAGCGGAAGCGGCUGUGGAGUUUACAGAAGUGAGAAUGCCGGAAUGAGUAGCGCGAAUGAUGUGAGAAUCAUCAUGGCCGGAAACCUCAGGUUUUUGGAGGAAGGUUCGUCCGCUCCAAGUUAGGCGGGAGCUAAGGUGAGGCCGAAAGGCGUAGCCGAUGCACAGACGGUAGAGAUUCCGUCCCCACCGAAAGAUUUAAGCGCAGGGACACUUUUAGAAGGUCGGAGCCAGGUGUUGGUUCUGGUAGAGAUCGAGGGAAAUUUAGUACCGAAGUCCGGCUGGAUAAGAGGCGAGAAAAGCUGCGUGUAUAUCUAAGGUGCCCGUACCGCAAACCGACACAGGUAGGUAGGAAGAAGAUUCUAAGGCCAACGGGAGAAGGGUUGUUAAGGAACUCGGCAAGUUGACCCCGUAACUUCGGAAUAAGGGGUGCUCAUGAAAGUGAGCCGCAGAGAAUAGGCCCAGGCAACUGUUUACCAAAAACACAGGUUUGUGCUAAAUCGAAAGAUGACGUAUACGAGCUGACGCCUGCCCGGUGCUGGAAGGUUAAAAGGAGAUGUGCAAGCAUUGAAUUGAAGCCCCAGUGAACGGCGGCCGUAACUAUAACGGUCCUAAGGUAGCGAAAUUCCUUGUCAGGUAAGUUCUGACCCGCAUGAAAGGCGUAAUGAUCUGGGCACUGUCUCAACAGCCCGCCCGGCGAAAUUGUAGUACCGGUGAAGAUGCCGGUUACCCGCGACAAGACGGAAAGACCCCAUGGAGCUUUACUGUAGCCUAAUAUUGGGUUUCGGUGUUGCAUGCACAGGAUAGAUGGGACGCUAGGA